CACAGCAGGGCUUGCAAGGAAAGCCAGGAAUUACAUUCAUAGUCACGGAACAAAAAUAUAUUGUUUAAGUAUUCCGUAAACCAAAAUGCUUUUAGCUGAAGAUGCUCAGAUCUUACAGGAUACAUUUUGUUGAUAAAAAUUCUCCACAGAGGCUACAGUGACUACCUUACACUGCAGAGAUUGUGGUAUGUUGCUGGACAAUUUGAAAACAGAAAAUAGCAGGUAUGUUUGUGAUGAAAUGUUAAGCUGCUUUCUGAGUGAUAUAAAUGAUCUCUUUUUCUUGACUAGAUAUUGAAAGAAACAGCCAGUAGACCUACAAAGACAGGGAACCUCUCAGAAGCCAAAGGAGAGGCUUUUUACUUUUACAGGUGAAAUGAAAGGCAUUUUGCCCCUCCUUUCACUCUGCAGUGGUGAGCUUUCACCAGGAGAAGGGUAAUCAUUCUAGGUGUUUGAAGGCAAAAAUUGAGAUCUCCUGAACUCCUCAUGUGGUCUGCUCUUCCUUGGGUGGAACAUCUACUGCUAGAGUAAAUUGUUGUCAUAUUGAAGUUGACAAUCUGUGUUGAUAAUAUUUCAUAUUAUACGGACAUUAAAAUUACACAAA